UGAUAGUUCUGCUCCUCAAGCAGCCACUGACUAAACAGGCCCUCUGCUAAUUGCUCCAUCCCAAAGAAACAUUCAGGACCAACGUGACCCAAGAUAAACAUUUGGAUCAAGGGAGAAAUCCAUCAAAAUAUAUUCUUGCUGAUAGUCUACGAUUAAACAUGAAUCAAAAUACUGGACAUCACAACUGAAAUUGUAUGAAAGUGGAAUCAAACUCAAGAUGAAAAGUCUUCCCAAGCCAUGUACAAUCUGCAGUUGGGUGUGUGGAAGAAUGAUUGAACCAGCUACAAGAAUGUCCCAAGGAUAACAUC